rnacentral:lncRNA from 1 species
AAAAAUCUAGUCUAGGAUUCUGACUCGGCCUCGACCCUGUCGUCCUUGAAGGUCCUACUAUCCCUAUGUUGUUCGUCGUUAUCUUGGUCAUGUGGUGGCCGCAACUUCCUAUGUUAGUCCCUAGUCCACAUCGUCGUCCAGCUCAGUAGCCGUAUACCAUCGACAGAGGAGAGAAAUCACUGGAUUGCGUGACAAAGAAGCGUAGUCCAAUAUGACACCUGCCAGCCAAGCACUCGACAAAUUCCCUGAAUCGGAGAACCAUUACCGAUCUCGUGUAUUCGAGUCAGCUAUUGGAAUGGUAAGCUGAUGUAUUAUUCCUGCUACCUAAAUUUUUGAAUGGAUAAAGCGAAUGAUGAGUUUGGUAGGAUCAAUCGGUGUCGCUUGUGCUUAGUUAAUUUUUAUUGUGUGAAGGUCGCAAGCGCUCAAUGUGGAAGAAUGGAAUUAGAUGAAGAAGAAAGAGAGGUUCAGCGCGAUGCUCACUAGGUGCUCAAUAAAUUGCGAGUCACGGAACUCUCGUCGACUUCGAGGUUCUUGCGUUUAUCGAGCCAGAUUCAGUUAUAGCAAGUUAUUUCGCUAUUCCAGUCAAUUAGCUGAAUUGGUGGACCGAGUAGAAUAUUAGUAGGCCUGUGUGAUGAUAAAAUAUUUUAAUCACUUAUAAAGAUGUGUAUAUAUUUACGAUAAAAAAUCGUUGAUAUAUGAACUAAAAUUUGAAUUACUACUUUCAGUGAAAAGAAUAUUGGUAGAUAUAUAUAUGGUAUGAUGGUGUUCGCGAUGGUGAAGUAGUUGUGUCGUGUGAAGCUUAGGAUUGUUUUUAAUUUAGGAUUGUUAUUAAAAUAUGAUGUGUAACACGGGAUAUGGGAAAUUAUGAAAUAAAAUGACUUGUGAUGAUGAACCCAUUGUGGCCAUGAUGGUUUCAUCAUUCAAGUAGGGUACCUCUCUCAGGUAUCAAGCUCUGGGAAAUAAUAUGUAAUGUAGACCAGACGUUGAGUAGGAAAGUUCGCCCGUUAGUGUCGAUUAAGGACCGUUCGAUGUAGGCCUGUUGUGGUGGAGACUUUGCAACUAGCCACAUGCUUCGGUAAGCCUGAACCUGGCUAUUCCAUACAUGAAAAGACAAUCGCGCACUGGGCGUGGGAGAUGGUGGGAGUAGUGUGUACCCUCUUGGCUAGAGGCUGGACGAAGGAGUACUGUGCUCUCGAGUAGCGCGGACUGGUUCACGUUGUGGAGGAUCUGUGCAAAUGGUUGACAUAUGCAAGGGUUAAGUGCUACAUAUGUCGUGUUGUUAGGGAUCCCCAGCUGGGUAUAAUCGGUUCGAAUCGUCGUUGCUCCUCGGUCAUGGAGACUACCCUCCGACCACUCAUCGUAGUUUAUAAGUAAAAUAAGAAUUUGGGUAAAAGAAAGCUAGACCAGGACAAGUGAAUGCUCUAGAUUAGGCAAAUCUAGAUUCAGGAAAAGUACUUAACUGGUGAAGUAAAAUUUUGGCAUAAAGGUUCACUACUAGUAAGCUCUUCUGCAAAUGAGUCUUUGAAAUUUGAUAAGCCUUACCUUGAAUCCUUUUAAAACCAGCAUACCCUUGAGAGUCUUUUCUUUAGUCGGGUAAGUCUUGCUGAGUACUUGCGUACUUAGGGUUUUAUUCCCAUUGUUGCUGCAGGUUACGAGUCACUUUGAUUGUGAUUGAUGUUAAGUGCCGGUGGGCUCGGCCUUCUUAUAAGUCUAAGUACUUCUUCUAUACUUCUUAUUGAGGAUUGUCAUUGAGCUAGCAUGUAUUUCAAACUUAUAAAUAAUUUAUAACAUUUCAAAGUUUAUUCUUUGAACCACUAUUGUAACCACUCCGAUAAAUAUAAUGUAAAUUUGUUGUUACAUGUAAAAUUUGGUAAUAAGAUUUCCGCUGCAAAUUGUUGGUGUGUGAUUUGUGUUUACUUAAUCCUGCGGUCCUAGUUGUUUGUGGUUUAUCCGGGGUCCUUGGGACAAUCAGACGGAUCCUGUUAAGUUAUCUGGUGCACAUGCAUAGCCGUCUGAGGUCUUUGAGAUAAGGGUAGGUGCAUGUGGGCCUAAUAACUUGGGAGGUUCUGCCACAGCUGGUAUCAGAGCAAGAUUAAGUAUAAUACGGUCACAUACGUAUUUUCAAAACAAAGUUUUGGUUUUAGAAAAUCUAUUUUCAACUAAACACAUUGUUUGGUUUUGAAAAACAGAUCUGAAAAACUAUAAUGCUAGCAACAUCCUCUGUUAAGCCCUAAAUUAACACACAACCGGGGGGAUAUUUCAUACAUGUGUAAUGUUAUUUUUAAGGCCAUUCAGUCUUGAAUGGAUCGACGCUUAGGUAAGGUGAGAUGUGAGAGCAUAACCGAACAAACAUCGGUCUAAGGAAGAGUAUAAAAAGCGCUUGAUUAUAUACAUUUU